rnacentral:rRNA from 1 species
CAGUCGCCGCGGGAAAACGAGGGGUGCAAGCGUUAUUCGGAUUGAUUGGGUGUAAAGGGUGUGCAGACGGCUUAUUAAGUCACUUGUUAAAUUCUUCGGCCUAACUGAAGGUCUGCAAGUGAUACUGAUGAGCUAGAGGGUGGAAGAGAGAAGUGGAAUUCUCGGAGUAGCGGUAAAAUGCGUAGAUCUCGAGAGGAACACCAAUGGCGAAGGCAGCUUCUUGGUCCAUUCCUGACGUUCAUACACGAAAGCGUGGGGAGCAAAUGGGAUUAGAUACCCCAGUAGUCCCUGUCUCUUAUAC